UAUUAGUUUCUUAUUUUUAUUUUUUUCUUUUUACAAAUAUUCGUUUUCGGUACAGGGUAGAGUCAGUGCUUCUCUCAAGAGAAUACGGCGAUCAUCCACCACGCGAAGAGAUGCUGAUGAAAGUUUUUCUUGGACUUUAAUCUUAAAAAAUAUUUGCGACCACGCGCAAUGUGGUUAAGUAGAAUCAGUGUUUGCUUCGUCAUAAUAUUUUUAAUAUUUUUUAAAGCACAAUAGCUCUGAUUAAAUUUAAUUAGAAUAAUGAAACGCGAAAUUAGAAUCAGUGCUUGUUCGCCGAUUACAGAAUAUGUACGAACGCGUUAAUAGUUUGUUAUUUUUAUUUUUUUAUUUUGAAUAUUCGUUUUCGGUACAGGGUAGAAUCAGUGCUUCUUUGAAGAAAAUAAGGCGAUCAUCCAUCACGCGAAGAGAUUUCUUCCAUCCUCCUACCUGAUGACAGGCUUCUUCUCGAUGACUUCUGGGGCUACAACACAGUGAAGGCGUUCGUCGCAUCGUAUGGUGAGUCGCAUGCUUUUUGGUUCCUCCGGUCAUUCAAUCAUGUCGUAGGAUGAAAGAUCCGAAUCGACACGGAUGACUGGUUGUAUACGUAGAAUUUUGCACGAGCACAAUGACCGCGGAUAUUUGUUUAUAAUAUCCGUGAGUAGUAACAAUUAUUUCUUUUGUGUUUUAUUUAUUAGUUCAGGCUAGGAUCUUCUUGCGUUUCGCGUUUUUGAUUAAUAUAAAAUGUUUAGUAAUUUUCUAAUGUCAG
rnacentral:lncRNA from 1 species